ensembl:piRNA 21ur-4470 ncRNA
UGUUGCAACUGUUUUCAAGGG